UUAACAAAUAUAUAAUAUAGUAACUAAUAUUUAAAUGACAUGAUGUGUGCAAUAAUAAACUGUUAAAAUAAUAGCAUUACUUAUAAUUAGUAAACAUUAUAAAUGAUAAUUUUAUUGUUUGUUACCGAUAAAAUAACUAUAUAUGUAUCUGUUUACCCUUCUUUCUUUUAAAGAUUAUUUUAUUGGGGCUUUUUAGGCCUUUAUUUAUAGAGGACAGCUGAAGACAUGAAAGGGGAGAGAGAGGGGGAAUGACAUGCAGCAAAGGGCAUCGAGGAGUAAACCUCUAUAUAUGGGCACCUGCUCUACCAGGUUCCGAACCAUAUUGGAAACCUGGCUGCUGUUUGAUACAGUUGAGGCGUGGUGGAGCCGCAACACUACCAGUAGACAUAAGGGGUUUUCCUGUUGCUACUCUGACCUGGAUCUGCAUAAGUAUCAGAAAAGUAAAUGGAUGGCUGGUUCUUUAAUUUAUUUUUUAUAUUGUGAAUGGCCAAUGUACAUUACAUUCUCCCAUGAGUUAAAGAUGGGUAUUCUCAUGUUGGUUGAAAAAAGUCUGAUGCCAAGGGCCAGGUUGAUGGUUUGGAUCUUCCAACAACUUUUUCUCUAUCAAACACUUUUUGCUUAGUGAAGAGUAAAAAAGAAUCGCCGGUGCAACACAGAUGUCUUCUUACUUAAUAGUUUUUAUUUUAUUUUUUAAGGUUACGUCUUCAUCAGAGUCCUUGGACUUUUUGCUGUAUCUUAGUGAUGUGAUGGUUGGAGGCCGGCUGGCUGUGAGUUUCUGUUUUUUUUUCCCUCUUUUAUGUUCUGCUGUCAGUUUCUGUGUUUUCCCCCCUCCUGCCUGUGUCAGCCAGCUGAUUGCACACACCUGCUCGCCUCCUCACCGCCACUCCUCCCGCCGUACACACCUGCCUGUCAUCAACUACAAUCAAACUCAGUAUUUAAACCCCGGAUUGACUCACCAUCCUCGCUUGAUCGUUGCUCCAGUCUCUUCGUCACUACCUUCCCGUCACUCUGCCUCCAGUCAGCUGGCUCCUCCAUCCAGUCCCUCUCUCGCGGUUCCCUGCUCCAGCCUGCCUCAGCUCACGCCAGUGCUUCCCCCGCGGAUCUCUCAGCCCCGGUCUCCCCGUGCCCUCGGAGCUCCCUCUCUGUUCCCUGUUUCAGUCUCCGCGCCCGUGCUUUCGCCCCUGGCAUCCACCUUCACACUUCCCCAUUCACUCCCCCAU
rnacentral:lncRNA from 1 species